GACGAACGCUGGCGGCGUGCUUAACACAUGCAAGUCGAACGGACAGACAGAGAGCUUGCUCACUUGAAGUUAGUGGCGAACGGGUGAGUAACGCGUAAUCAACCUGCCCUUCAGAGGGGGAUAACAACGGGAAACCGUUGCUAAUACCGCGUACGAUUCAUGAACGGCAUCGUUUAUGAAUGAAAGGUGGCCUCUAUGUAUAAGCUAUCGCUGAAGGAGGGGAGUGCGUCUGAUUAGCUAGUUGGAGGGGUAACGGCCCACCAAGGCAAUGAUAAGUAGCCGGUCUGAGAAGAUGAACGGCCACAUUGGGACUGAGACACGGCCCAAACUCCUACGGGAGGCAGCAGUGGGGAAUCUUCCGCAAUGGACGAAAGUCUGACGGAGCAACGCCGCGUGAGUGAUGAAGGUCUUCGGAUUGUAAAGCUCUGUUAAUCGGGACGAAAGAGUUCUGCGUGAAUAAUGCAGAAAAGUGACGGUACCGGAAUAGAAAGCCACGGCUAACUACGUGCCAGCCGCCGCCGUAA
rnacentral:rRNA from 1 species